UCGGGAAUAUUGCGCAAUGGAGGAAACUCUGACGCAGUGACGCCGCGUGCAGGAAGAAGGUUUUCGGAUUGUAAACUGCUUUAGACAGGGAAGAAACAAGACAGUACCUGUAGAAUAAGCUCCGGCUAACUACGUGCCAGCAGCCGCGGUAAUACGUAGGGAGCAAGCGUUAUCCGGAUUUAUUGGGUGUAAAGGGUGCGUAGACGGGAAAACAAGUUGGUUGUGAAAUCCCUCGGCUUAACUGAGGAACUGCAACCAAAACUAUUUUUCUUGAGUGCUGGAGAGGAAAGUGGAAUUCCUAGU
rnacentral:rRNA from 1 species